rnacentral:rRNA from 1 species
UACGUAGGGCGCAAGCGUUAUCCGGAAUUAUUGGGCGUAAAGAGCUCGUAGGCGGUUUGUCGCGUCUGCCGUGAAAGUCCGGGGCUCAACUCCGGAUCUGCGGUGGGUACGGGCAGACUAGAGUGAUGUAGGGGAGACUGGAAUUCCUGGUGUAGCGGUGAAAUGCGCAGAUAUCAGGAGGAACACCGAUGGCAAGGCAGGUCUCUGGGCAUUAACUGACGCUGAGGAGCGAAAGCAUGGGGAGCGAACAGGAUUAGAACCGUACCGA